rnacentral:sRNA from 1 species
UAAAUCUACAUAUACAUUUUUGCAGCCAUUUUGUGAAAUAAAUGCUGAAGUUGGGACUUAUUUACAAUGCAUGCCACUGGCAUUUAUUAUUUAGUUAAAAAAAAUUAAAAAAUAUAUUAACCAAACUAUAUCUUGCCUAAUUUGUUUCUAAAAAUCUCUACACAAUAUUUUCAUAUAUC